UUAGUUACUAUUAUAGUUCAGGUAAAGUUGGGUAUCUAUACAAUAUAAUCGAAGCUUUCAUUGACAGUCAAAGGGCUAUAUUCUAUUCAUUUGUGUAUCAUUGGUUAUUUGUGCAUUUUUAAGUGUAGUGACAUUCAUCUACAUUACGUGUCAUAAAUAAAAGUAAAUCAAAUCUACUUCAGUCUUUCUAUUUUAACAAGUUUAGGUCUCUCUCUCUCUCUCUCUCUCUCUCUCUCAUUUUUUUCUAUCAUAAAUUCUCUUGCAUUGACACACCAUCCAUGAGGUGACCUCACACUACUUGACACCGUCGCACAAGCCACUCUACCACAACGCAAAGGUAUGUAAGCCACUCUACCACAACGCAAAGGUAUGUAAGCCACUCUACCACAACGCAAAGGUAUGUAAGCCACUCUACCACAACGCAGAGGUAUGUAAGCCACUCUACCACAACGCAAAGGUAUGUAAGCCACUCUACCACAACGCAAAGGUAUGUAAGCCACUCUACCACAACGCAGAGGUAUGUAAGCCACUCUACCACAACGCAAAGGUAUGUAAGCCACUCUACCACAACGCAAAGGUAUGUAAGCCACUCUACCACAACGCAGAGGUAUGUAAGCCACUCUACCACAACGCAGAGGUAUGUAAGCCACUCUACCACAACGCAAAGGUAUGUAAGCCACUCUACCACAACGCAAAGGUAUGUAAGCCACUCUACCACAACGCAAAGGUAUGUAAGCCACUCUACCACAACGCAAAGGUAUGUAUACUCUCAUUGUUUUCUCCUCAGAAAAUGAAUAUUUCGUAAUUAUAUUAUUAAAUGUACGCAGAGUAUUUAAAAUUUACUUAGUAGUCAAUAAUUAGCAAUAUAAGAGCCGGGAGGGGGGGGGAGGGGGAUGGAGUGGCAUAUGCGCUACUCCCGCAAGCCACACCUGAAGAUAAAUCAAGGUAAAAUAGGGAGCAUGCGCUACAAAGCUGCGCGUGGUGGAGGUGCUCAUUUCCAUCCCGUUUUUCUUUGAGCCAGUGGUGGGAGAGAAUAACCCAACGCCGGUGUGGCGUCAUCUGCCAUCCACGUAUCCUAACACAUCCCAUCCUGAUUGAGCUUGCGCGGGCUUUGUUAACAGAGGGUGCAUGAAUGUCGGUACGGUACAGUGUCUUUUGUCUACUGCCUAUUGUUAUCCGUCCCACCAAAGGUGUUUUUUUUAAGUAAAUGAUGGCGUAUGUUUUGAAGUCUUGAAAUAUGAAAGUUUCUUCACACCUUGUAUGUCGGUAAAUGUGUUAAGAGAUAGCCUGCACCCCUUGUAUGUCAAUAAAUGUGAUAAGAAGAGAUAACCAUCACCACUUGCAUGUCUUGCCGCCAUAUUGCCUGGACAAACUACGAUAUUAACAGUGUAAACAUCGGGUUCCGCGCAUGCGCAGAUCAGGAUGGGAUGUCUAAGAUACGUGGAUGGCAGAUGACACCACACCGGGACAGUUUACCUUGCCCCGUUAAACCUAAAAUGCCUUGAUCAAAUAGAAAGACUUAAGUACCGUACCUAAUAUAAUGGCUGACAGUCAUACUUUUGCAUGAACAUAUACGAGAUUUUGAAGCUAAUAUCUAAAUGUGUAUAUUAUUAGUAGUAUCUACCACCACUAUUAGUCUACUGACAUUAAGAUAUAC